rnacentral:rRNA from 1 species
AUUGAACGCUGGCGGCAUGCUUUACACAUGCAAGUCGAACGGCAGCGCGGUCUUCGGUCUGGCUGCGGGUGGCCAACGGGCGAGUAAUGGAUCGAAACGUGCCAACUUGCGGGGUAUUGCCCGGCGACAGAGGGAUUAUUACCGCAAACGCCCAGACGAUGUAAGGGGGGAACCAAAGGACCUUGGGCCCUUGCAGCGGCCGAUGUCGGAUUAGCGAGUUGGUGGGGUGAAGGCUUACCAAGGCGACAAUCCGUAGCUGGUCUGAGAGGACGACCAGCCACACUGGAACUGAGACACGGCCCAGACUCCUACGGGAGGCAGCAGUGGGGAAUAUUGGACAAUGGGGGCAAGCCUGAUCCAGCCAUGCCGCGUGCGGGAAGAAGGCCUUCGGGUUGUAAACCCCUUUUGUUCGGGAAGAAAACCUCUGGGCUAAUACCCCGCGGGGAUGACGGUACCGGAAGAAUAAGCACCGGCUAACUACGUG